CAGCAACACCUAAACCAAGAAAAGGAGGUGGGCAAUGCCCACCUGGUGUUUGGGGUUGUGCAAGAAAAGCUAAAACAAAGAUAGCAGAGAAUUAGACAAAACCAGGCAUGCUAUUAAGGAAAGAACACUCAAGCGGUGAAACUGAUUGAUUCAUCA